GACGAACGCUGGCGGCGUGCUUAACACAUGCAAGUCGAACGGAAAGGCCCUGCUUUUGUGGGGUGCUCGAGUGGCGAACGGGUGAGUAACACGUGAGUAACCUGCCCUUGACUUUGGGAUAACUUCAGGAAACUGGGGCUAAUACCGGAUAGGAGCUCCUGCUGCAUGGUGGGGGUUGGAAAGUUUCGGCGGUUGGGGAUGGACUCGCGGCUUAUCAGCUUGUUGGUGGGGUAGUGGCUUACCAAGGCUUUGACGGGUAGCCGGCCUGAGAGGGUGACCGGCCACAUCGGGACUGAGAUGCGGCACAGACUCCUACGGGAGGCAGCAGUGGGGAAUAUUGCACAAUGGGCGGAACCCUGAUGCAGCAACGCAGCGUGCGGGAUGACGGCAUUCGGGUUGUAAACCGCUUUCGCCUGUGACGAAGCGUGAGUGACGGUAAUGGGUAAAGAAGCACCGGCUAACUACGUG
rnacentral:rRNA from 1 species